GAUGAACGCUGGCGGUCUGCUUCACCCAUGCAAGUCGACCGGUGCACCCACGGGUUCAUAGUGGCGGACGGGUGAGUAACACGUGAGAAUCUGCCUUCAGGUCGGGGACACCAGCGGGAAACUGCUGCUAAUACCCGAUGUGCCUUCGGGAGAAAGAUCAAUUGCCUGAAGAUGAGCUCGCGUCCUAUUAGCCAGUUGGUGGGGUAAAAGACUACCAAGGCGACGAUCGUUAGCUGGUCUGACAGGAUGAGCAGCCACACUGGGACUGAGACACGGCCCAGACUCCUACGGGAGGCAGCAGUGGGGAAUUUUCCGCAAUGGGCUAAAUCCUGACUGAGCAAGACCGCGUGGGGGAUGAAGGCUCUUUGGUUGUAAACCCCUGUUCUCAGGGAAGAAGUUCUGACGGUACCUGAGGAAUCAUCAACGGCUAACUACGUGCCAGCCGCCGCAGUAAUAC
rnacentral:rRNA from 1 species